GCCUCCCCUAAAAAUUUGUUCUGGCUUCGCCCUUGCUCCCCCAUCUUUUUUUUUUUUUUGCUCAGUUAAAAGUAUUACAAAAAUGCAGAAACAGUAGCCACUGCCUAAUGCAACAAACUUUAACAGCCUAACCAUACCCAAAAUCAAACACACAACCUAACAGCAGCAUAAUCCCAGUAAACCCCUACACCAAUAUCUGCUCAAUAGAUUAGCAGAACAAAAACCAGCAGCGCAUUCACUUGAAAAACCAGUAACUGUAAAGUCAUACCUCUGUAUACUCAAAAUUAAUGCAGACCAUCUCACCACCAGGCCUACUCAUACCAGCUCACCCCCCAUCUU
rnacentral:lncRNA from 1 species